ensembl:misc_RNA Metazoa_SRP Metazoan signal recognition particle RNA
GCCAGACACAGUGUUGGAUACAUGUAAACCCAGCUACUCAGGAGGCUGAGUGGGGAGGAUCCCUAGAGUUCAGGAGUUCUGAGCAAUAGUGCACUAUGCUGAUCAGGUAUCUGCAAUGUUAUGCAUCAAUAUGGUGAUCUCCUGGGAAGAAGACACCACCAGGUUGCCUCAGGAGAGAUGAAGCAACUCAGGUUGGAAACAGAGCAGGUCAAAACUUCUGUGCUGAUCAGUAGUGGGAUUACAGCUGUGACUAGCCACUGCAUGCCAGUCUAGAAUGUAGAGAGGCUUAGUCUCUUUA